rnacentral:tRNA from 1 species
CAGGGAGACAACAAAAUGUAAAUAUUAAUUUUGUCACCUUAGGUCGAUCGGUAUCUCAGAUUCUUAUUUUUUAAGAAUUUCAGUUUCUAAGUUUUUUCUAGGUCACACCCAUCACUUUUUCCUGGGCCAUUAGCUCAGGUGGUUAGAGCGCACCCCUGAUAAGGGUGAGGUCCCUGGUUCAAGUCCAGGAUGGCCCAUAUCUCUAUGUUGGGGGUAUAGCUCAGUUGGUAGAGCGCCUGCUUUGCAAGCAGGAUGUCAGCGGUUCGAGUCCGCUUACCUCCACUGAAUACCACCUCUUACAUAUAUUUAAAGAGGGAAAUUGUUUUGAGUCGUGUCCUAAUUUGCUCUGAGCGAAUCUAGCUUCCUAUUUUAUUCAAAAAUAAGAUGCUGGACUCAUUGAAUUUUUUUCAUUGUUUUCAGAGAACCUUGACAACUGCAUAGAUUAUUUUUGAAGACAAUAAGCAUCUUUUAAUGAUGCAGAUUUAUUAUUUGUGCGAAUGCAUUAAAUAACAAUUCUAUUAAGCUGAUGCUUCAAUUAUUGAAGUUAUU